rnacentral:rRNA from 1 species
CUAGCUGUAAACGAUGGAUACUAGGCGUUGAGAGUACCGACCCUCUCAGUGUCGUAGCUAACGCGUUAAGUAUCCCGCCUGGGGAGUACGCGCGCAAGCGUGAAACUCAAAGGAAUUGACGGGGGCCCGCACAAGCGGUGGAGUAUGUGGUUUAAUUCGAUGCAACGCGAAGAACCUUACCAGGGCUUGACAUGUCCGGAACCCUGCCCAAAGGCGGGAGUGCCUACGGGAACCGGAACACAGGUGGUGC